GUCAAAAAAAAGAAGGCUCACGACGGAGACCUAGGCUCUCAGAGACGAUGAAAGGCGCGAUACCAGCGAUAUGCUUUGGGGAGUAGGAAGAAUGCAUAGAUCCAAAGAUUCCUGAAUAGGGCAACCUGUCCGACUAUCUAUGAAUUCAUAAAUAGAUUAGAGGCAACCUGGUGAACUGAAACAUCUCAGUAGCCAGAGGAAAAGAAAGCAAAAGCGAUUCCCGUAGUAGCGGCGAGCGAACUGGGACCAGCCUAAACCAAUUAAAUUGGGGUUGUGGGAAGACAAAAAAAAUAUAAAGAAAAAAAGACGAAGCAGCUGAAUCCUGCACCAUAGAUGGUGAAAGUCCAGUAGUCAUAUUGAAUAAAGCGUUUCUUCGGCUAUUCGUUUUUUCGGAAAGGUUCCUUCGGUUAUCGGCUAUUCGUCUAUUCGGCUUUGCCGAAGCGAACCGAACCGAUGGUUUUCGUCAAAGCCGAAAAGCGAAGAAGUGGCAAAAUGAACUUUAAUGUCUAUCCCGAGUAGCAUGGGGCACGUGGAAUCCCGUGUGAAUCUGCGAGGACCACCUCGUAAGGCUAAACACUCCUGAGAGACCGAUAGCGAAAUAGUACAGCGAUGGAAAGGUGAAAAGAACCCCCGUAGGGGAGUGAAAUAGAACAUGAAAUCGUGAGCUGGCAAGCAGCGGGAGGAUUAUUAUGAAUCUGACCGCGUGCCUGUUGAAGAAUGAGCCGGCGACUUAUAGGAAGUGGCGGGUUAAAGAGUAAGAUCUGGAGCCUAAGCGAAAGCGAGUCUGAAUAGGGCGUAAGUCACUUGUUAUGGACCCGAACCUGGAUGAUCUAACCAUGAGCAAGCUGAAGCUUAGGUAACACUUAGUGGAGGGCUGAACGGACCGAUGUUGAAAAAUCGGCCGAUGACUUGUGGUUAGCGGAGAAAUUCCAAUCGAAUUCAGAGCUAGCUGGUUCUCCCCGAAAUGCGUUGAGGCGCAGCGGCAAUGAUGGGCAAUCUAAGGGUAGAGCGACUGUUUCGGUGCGGGCUGCGAAAGCGGUACCAAGUCGUGGCAAACUCCGAAUAUUAGAUAUGCUUUCCAUAUGCCAGUGAGACAGUCGGGGAUAAGCUUGAUUGUCAAGAGGGAAACAGCCCAGAUCAUCAGCUAAGGCCCCUAAAUGACUCCUAAGUGGAAAAGGAUGUGAGAAUGCCGAAACAACCAGGAAAUUCGCUUAGAAGCAGCUAUUUUUUAAAGAGUGCGUAAUAGCUCACUGGUAAAGCGUUUUUGCGCCGACAAUGGCCGGGACUAAGGAGUCUGCCGAAGCUAUGAGAUUUUUUAUUUGUUUUAUUUUAAAAGAAAGAAUAAAAUUUUCUUUUAAAAUAAUAAAAUUUUCUUUUAAAAUAAAAAAUUUUUAUUUUAAAAUAAUAAAAUUUUCUUUUAAAAGAAAGAAUAAAAAUCGGUAGGGGAGCGUUCAGCAUUGGGUGAAGCUUUGACGUAAGUUUGAGUGGACGAUGCUGAAGUGAGAAUGUCGGCUUGAGUAACGAAAACAUUGGUGAGAAUCCAAUGCCCCGAAAACCUAAGGGUUCCUUUACAAGGUUCGUCCAUGAAGGGUGAGUCAGGACCUAAGGCGAGGCCGAUAGGCGUAGUCGAUGGCAAACAGGUUGAUAUUCCUGUACUUUUUUGAAGGGGAACCGAGGGACGAAGUCGGCUAAAUUGAGUCUGUGAAUGGAAUGCAGUGGAAAUGUUCGAGGUAAAACAGAUCGAAGAAAAACGAAUCUGUAGCUAAGGCAUGAUCCCACUCUCUUGAACUUGUUUGGGUAGAGUGUCAAUGAUGUCAUACUUCCAAGAAAAGCUCGUACACCAUCUUUUUAAGAUAAAACCUUCAAAAAACCUGUACCUGAAACCGACACAGGUAGGUUGGUAGAGAAUACUAAGGGGCGCAAGAGAACUCUCUCUAAGGAACUCGGCAAAUUGGCCCCGUAACUUCGGGAGAAGGGGCGCCCUUGACUUUAGUCAAGGGCCACAGUAUAAAGACUCUGGCAACUGUUUACCAAAAACACAGGUCUCCGCAAAGUCGUAAGACAAUAUAUGGGGGCUGACGCCUGCCCAGUGCCGGAAGGUGAAGGAAGUUGGUUAUUUGAGCCUCAGCGCUCGGAGAAGCUGACAACCGAAGCCCCGGUGAACGGCAGCUGUAACUAUGACAGUUCUAAGGUAGCGAAAUUCAUUGUCGAGUAAGUUUCGACCUGCACGAAAGGCGUAAUGAUCAGAGUACUGUCUCAGAGAGAGACUUGGUGAAAUAGACUUAUCCGUGAAGAUGCGGAUUAACAACAUUUGGACAGAAAGACCCUAUGAAGCUUGACUGUAUCCUGGAAUUGGGUUCGGGCUUUUCUUGCGCAGUCUAGGUGGGAGGCAUUGAAGAUUUCUUUCCGGAGAGAUUGGAGCCAUCAGUGAGAGACCACUCUGGAAAGGCUAGAAUCCUAAUAGUGAUCCCUAAUCGGGACAUUUGACGUUUUCAGGAGGGCAGUUUUUUUGGGGCGAAAGUCCUCCUAAAAGGUAACGGAGGCGCGCAAAGGUUUCCUCAGUCUGGACGGAAAUCAGACGUUACAGAGUGUAAAGGCAAAAGGAAGCUUGACUGCAAGACCUACAAGUCGAGCAGGGGCGAAAGCCGGCCUUAGUGAUCCGACGGUGUCCGCGUGGAAGGGCCGUCGCUCAACGGAUAAAAGUUACUCUAGGGAUAACAGGCUGAUCUUCUCCAAGAGUUCACAUCGACGAGAAGGUUUGGCACCUCGAUGUCGGCUCAUCACAUCCUGGGGCUGUAGUAGGUCCCAAGGGUUGGGCUGUUCGCCCAUUAAAGUGGUACGUGAGCUGGGUUCAAAACGUCGUAAGACAGUUUGGUCCAUAUCCGAUGUUGUCGUUAGAGCGCUGAGGGGAUCCUUAAAUAGUACGAGAGGAUUUUUAAGGUCGUGCCUAUGGUGUAUCAGUUCUCUCUCCAGAGGGAAACGCUGAGUAGCUACGCACGGUUUAGAUAACCGCUGAAAGCAUCUAAGUGGGAAGCUUUCCUCAAGAUGAGCGCUCUCCAUUAUGCCACAGCUAGACAAGCUGAUGAUAGGUAUCAGGUGAAAGGUCUGCAAGGAUUUGAGCCGAGAUAUACUAAAGGCCAAUUGAUUUUGAC
rnacentral:rRNA from 1 species